GUCAGGAAUAUUGGGCAAUGGGCGAAAGCCUGACCCAGCAACGCCGCGUGAAGGAUGAAGGCCUUCGGGUCGUAAACUUCUGUCGAGAGGGAAGAAUGCGUACGGGUGAAUAAUCUGUGCGUUUGACGGUACCUCCAAAGGAAGCACCGGCUAACUCCGUGCCAGCAGCCGCGGUAAUACGGAGGGUGCAAGCGUUGUUCGGAUUCAUUGGGCGUAAAGCGAGUGUAGGCGGUUUGACAAGUCGGAUGUGAAAUCCCGGGGCCCAACCCCGGAACUGCAUCCGAUACUGUCUGGCUAGAGUCCCGGAGAGGGUGGCGGAAUUCCCGGUGUAGGGGUGAAAUCCGUAGAUAUCGGGAGGAACACCAGUGGCGAAGGCGGCCACCUGGACGGUGACUGACGCUGAGACUCGAAAGCGUGGGUAGCAAACAGGAUUAGAAACCCCAGUAGUCC
rnacentral:rRNA from 1 species